AACGAACGCUGGCGGCAUGCCUAACACAUGCAAGUCGAACGAGACCUUCGGGUCUAGUGGCGCACGGGUGCGUAACGCGUGGGAAUCUGCCCUUGGGUUCGGAAUAACAGUUAGAAAUGACUGCUAAUACCGGAUGAUGUCUUCGGACCAAAGAUUUAUCGCCCAGGGAUGAGCCCGCGUAAGAUUAGCUUGUUGGUGAGGUAAGAGCUCACCAAGGCGACGAUCUUUAGCUGGUCUGAGAGGAUGAUCAGCCACACUGGGACUGAGACACGGCCCAGACUCCUACGGGAGGCAGCAGUGGGGAAUAUUGGACAAUGGGCGAAAGCCUGAUCCAGCAAUGCCGCGUGAGUGAUGAAGGCCUUAGGGUUGUAAAGCUCUUUUACCCGGGAUGAUAAUGACAGUACCGGGAGAAUAAGCCCCGGCUAACUCCGUGCCAGCCGCCGCCGUAAAAC
rnacentral:rRNA from 1 species